AAACUUACUGGUUAAUACCCGGUGAGGCUGAGAGUACCUGAAGAAUAAGCACCGGCUAACUACGUGCCAGCAGCCGCGGUAAUACGUAGGGUGCAAGCGUUAAUCGGAAUUACUGGGCGUAAAGCGUGCGCAGGCGGACUUUUAAGCCAGAUGUGAAAGCCCCGAGCUUAACUUGGGAAUUGCGUUUGGAACUGGGAGUCUAGAGUCUGUCAGAGGGGGAUGGAAUUCCACGUGUAGCAGUGAAAUGCGUAGAGAUGUGGAGGAACACCGAUGGCGAAGGCAGUCCCCUGGGAUAAGACUGACGCUCAUGCACGAAAGCGUGGGGAGCAAAACAGGAUUAGAUACCCUGGUAGUCCACGCCCUAAACGAUGUCUACUAGUUGUUGGGGUAGCAAUACCUCAGUGACGCAGCUAACGCGUGAAGUAGACCGCCUGGGGAGUACGGUCGCAAGAUUAAAACUCAAAGGAAUUGACGGGG
rnacentral:rRNA from 1 species